ACCCUACAACCAACCCCAUAACUCCACAUCCCAUCCCAAAACCCCAAACCCAACUCCAUUACCAACCCCAUAACCCCACAUCCCACCCCAAGACCCCACAUCCCACCCUACAACCCCACAUCCAACCCCAUGAACCCAAUCCCAUAAACCCCAAAACCCCACAUCCCACCCAAAAAACCCCAAUCCCAUAACCCCACAUCCAACCCCAAAACCCCAAACCCAACAUCCCACCCCAAAACCCCAAAUGCCACCCCAAUCCCAUAACCCCACAUGCCGUUUAUAGGGCAGCAGAAACAAAAGAUCCCAAUAGAGGAGAAAAUCUGCCUUUAUUUGGGGGGAACUUAUGGGGCUGAGGGUGCUAUGGGGCCGCCCCACACACGGCUAUAGGGCCAAACUCUAUAGGGCAGCCCCACAUAUGGUUAUGGGGCCAAACACUCUAUGGGGUCACCCCACACAUGGCUAUGGGGCCAAACACUCUAUGGGGUCACCCCACAUAUGGUUACGGGGCCAAGCACUCUAUGGGGUCGCCCCACAUAUGGCUAUGGGGCCAAACGCUCUAUGGGGUUGCCCCACACAUGGUUACGGGGCCAAACGCUCUAUGGGGUCACCCCACAUAUGGUUACGGGGCCAAACACUCUAUGGGGUCACCCCACACAUGGCUAUGGGGCCAAACGCUCUAUGGGGUCACCCCACACAUGGCUAUGGGGUCGCCCCACACGUGGCUAUGGGGCCAAACACUCUAUGGGGUCGCCCCACACAUGGCUAUGGGGUCACCCCACACAUGGCUAUGGGGCUGAGCACUUUAUAGGGUCAAGAACUCUAUAGGGCCGCCCCACAUCUCCCCCAUCUCAGCGCCGUCCAUCAGCAGAACCUACAGAGACAAAGCAGAGCUGUGAGCCCCCACCCCACAAAUCCCAUAUAGGGCGUCCCCAUCCCCCACGGCCCUAUAGAGGGUCCCUAUUAGGGUUCCUAAGGGGGGGGGAGGAGGGGGGUGGUUGGGGUCAGGAUCCUAAAAAGGGGGGUGGGGGAGGUGGUCCCAAACCUCGGGUCUAUAUGGGGUCAUUAAGGGGGGAUCCACACUCUCAUGUCCCUAUAGGGGGGGUCCGCAGUCCCAUAGAUUUAUAGGGGAUCGCCCUGCCUAAGAGGGGGAUGGGGGUCCCUAUGGGGAUCCUAUAGGGGGUUCUGGAUGCCCUCAUCCCUAUUGGGGUCCCUAAAGGGAGGGGGCUCCUCUGGAAGUUCCCAAUCCCAUAUCCCUAUGGGGUCCUUAUAAAAAAGGGUCCUAAGGGGGGUCCUUAAUGGGGUUUCCCAACCCCAUAUCCUUUUUGGGGUCCUUAAGGGGGUUCCCAACCCCAUAUCCUUUUUGGGGUCCUUAAGGGGGUUCCCAACCCCAUAUCCUUAUUGGGGUCCUUAAGGGACCUUGGGGUCCUAUGGGGUCCUUAAGGGGGUUUGCCAACCCCAUUUCCAUUUUGGGGUCCUCAAGGGACCUUGGGGUCCUAAAGGGGGUUUCCCAACCCCAUAUCCUUUUUGGGGUCCUUAAUGGGGUUUCCCAACCCCACAUCCUUAUUGGGGUCCUAAAGGGGGUUUCCCAACCCCAUAUCCUUAUUGGGGUCCUUAAUGGGGUUUCCCAACCCCAUAUCCUUAUUGGGGUCCUUAAGGGGGGUUCCCAACCCCAUAUCCUUUUUGGGGUCCUUAAGGGACCUUGAGGUCCUUAAUGGGGGCUUUCCCAAUCCCAUAUCCCUAUUGGGGUCCUUAUAAAAAAGGGUCCUUAAGGGGGGUCCUUAAUGGGGGUUUCCCAACCCCAUAUCCUU
rnacentral:lncRNA from 1 species